GGUCUGGAGCCGAAGCGAAAGCGAGUUUGAAAAGGGCGUUAAGUUGCAUACAAUGGGCCCGAAACCGGGUGACCUACCCAUGGUCAGGUUGAAGUGGAAGUAAAAUUCCAUGGAGGACCGAACCGACCUCCGUUGAAAAGGCGGCGGAUGAACUGUGGGUAGCGGAGAAAUUCCAAUCGAACCCGGAGAUAGCUGGUUCUCCCCGAAAUAGUUUUAGGACUAGCCUCAACUUAGAUAUCUGGAGGUAAAGCACUGAAUAGCCUAGCGGCCGAGAGGUUAGCGAAGCUUAUCAAACUCAGAAUGCCAGAAUAUUGAUGGUUGGGAGUCAGACAGUGUCAGAUAAAUGUCAUUGUCAAAAGGGAAACAGCCCAGAUCUACAGCUAAGGUCCCAAAGUCAGGUUAAGUGGAAAACGAUGUGGAGAUACGCAGACAACCAGGAUGUUGGCUCAGAAGCAGCCACUCAUUCAAAGAGUGCGUAAUAGCUCACUGGUCGAGCGUCUCUGCGCGGAGAAUUUAACGGGGCUAAACCUGACACCGAAGCUUAGGCAAUGUAGUAAUACAUUGGGUAGGGGAGCGUUGUAUACGCGGUGAAACAGUAGCGCAAGCGGCUGUGGAGUGUAUAGAAGUGAGAAUGCCGGAAUGAGUAGCGCGAAUGCAGUGAGAAUCUGCAUGGCCGAAAGCCUCAGGUUUCUGGAGGAAGGUUCGUCCGCUCCAGGUUAGUCGGGAGCUAAGGUGAGGCCUAACGGCGUAGCCGAUGCACAGACGGUAGAGAUUCCGUCACCACCAAAAGAGUUAAGCACAGGGACACAUUUGAAGUCUCGGAGCCGGGUGUUGGUUCCGGUAGCGAUCGAGGGAAAUUAGUACCGAAGUCCGAGAUGGAAGAUGGCGAGAAAAGCUGUGUGUAUUUCUGCGGUGCCCGUACCGCAAACCGACACAGGUAGGUAGGAAGAAGAUUCUAAGGCCAACGGGAGAAGGGUUGUUAAGGAACUCGGCAAAUUGACCCCGUAACUUCGGGAGAAGGGGUGCUCCAGAGAUGGAGCCGCAGAGAAUCGGCCCAAGCAACUGUUUACCAAAAACACAGGUUUGUGCUAAAUCGAAAGAUGACGUAUACGAGCUGACGCCUGCCCGGUGCUGGAAGGUUAAGAGGAGAUGUGCAAGCAUUGAAUCGAAGCCCCAGUGAACGGCGGCCGUAACUAUAACGGUCCUAAGGUAGCGAAAUUCCUUGUCAGGUAAGUUCUGACCCGCAUGAAAGGCGUAAUGAUUUGGGCACUGUCUCGACAGCCCGCCCGGCGAAAUUGUAGUACCGGUGAAGAUGCCGGUUACCCGCGACAAGACGGAAAGACCCCAUGGAGCUUUACUGUAGCCUAAUAUUGGGUUUCGAUGUUGCAUGCACAGGAUAGAUGGGACACUGGGAAGUGAUCGCUUUGGCGGUCAUGGAGUGGCCGUUGGGAUACCAUCCUUGCGAUAUUGGAAUUCUAACCUGCGCCUUUGAAUCAAGGCGGGGGACAUUGUUAGGUGGGCAGUUUGACUGGGGCGGUCGCCUCCUAAAGAGUAACGGAGGCGUUCAAAGGUUCGCUCAGCUUGAACGGAAAUCAAGCAAAAGAGUGCAAACGCAGAAGCGAGCCUAACUGCGAGACUGACGGGUCGAGCAGUAACGAAAGUUGGAGUUAGUGAUCCGGUGGUAUGUGAGUGGAAAUGCCAUCGCUCAACGGAUAAAAGUUACCCUGGGGAUAACAGGCUGAUCUCCCCCAAGAGUCCACAUCGACGGGGAGGUUUGGCACCUCGAUGUCGGCUCAUCGCAUCCUGGGGCUGUAUUCGGUCCCAAGGGUUUGGCUGUUCGCCAAUUAAAGCGGUACGCGAGCUGGGUUCAGAACGUCGUGAGACAGUUCGGUCCCUAUCUGUCGUGGGCGCAGGAUAUUUGAUGGGAGCUGUUCCUAGUACGAGAGGACCGGAGCGGACGUACCUCUGGCGCACCAGUUGUUCUGCCAAGAGCAUAGCUGGGCAACUAUGUACGGAUCGGAUAAACGCUGAAAGCAUCUAAGCGUGAAGCCGACCCAAAGAUAAGAUAUCCCAUUGU
rnacentral:rRNA from 1 species